rnacentral:piRNA from 1 species
UAUUGAGGGCCCAGUAGCUGCCUAUUGUUU